CGGGACGUGGCGCAGUCUGGUAGCGUACCUGAAUGGGGUUCAGGGGGUCGCGAGUUCGAAUCUCGCCGUCCCGACCA
rnacentral:tRNA from 3 species